GGACGGGUGAGUAACGCGUGGAUAACCUGCCUCACACUGGGGGAUAACAGUUAGAAAUGACUGCUAAUACCGCAUAAGCGCACAGUACCGCAUGGUAUAGUGUGAAAAACUCCGGUGGUGUGAGAUGGAUCCGCGUCUGAUUAGCUAGUUGGUGAGGUAAAGGCCCACCAAGGCAACGAUCAGUAGCCGGCCUGAGAGGGUGAACGGCCACAUUGGGACUGAGACACGGCCCAAACUCCUACGGGAGGCAGCAGUGGGGGAUAUUGCACAAUGGGGGAAACCCUGAUGCAGCGACGCCGCGUGAGUGAAGAAGUAUUUCGGUAUGUAAAGCUCUAUCAGCAGGGAAGAAAAUGACGGUACCUGACUAAGAAGCCCCGGCUAACUACGUGCCAGCAGCCGCGGUAAUACGUAGGGGGCAAGCGUUAUCCGGAUUUACUGGGUGUAAAG
rnacentral:rRNA from 1 species